GGGGUUCGCCCGGUCCCUCUUCUCCGUGCACAAAGGGGAAUUGUUGAAAACCAGAAUCGCAGACAGGGUCAGAGCCAGAAGGACACAGAAACCAGCGAGCGGAUGCGGCCACUUUACAGAUGGCAGCGCCGAGGCUGGAGCACACCGUGCCGAAUCAUGCAGACGCUUUCCCAAUCGGCAAAGAUCAUGGAGUCGCGUCUGCCUGGCGUCCAGCGGAAGCACAGGGCAGGUCCCCCUUGUGGAUGAAAGCACUCAGGAUGGCACCUCUCACCCAGCCAGGUAUCCCACCAGCAUGGCGUGGAUGUGCAGAAAGUGCUAAGAGACGUUAUAAUGGAGUCUGGUGCCACUUCUCGAUGGCCUGUGGGGCACUCAGGCUAACAGGCCCGAACGGGGUUGAUAUAUGAGAAGAAACGGUGCUGAACUAGCCAGCGGGGGACGGAAACCCUUUGCGCCUCUGGCCAGGCGAGUGCGGAUUCAAGGACUGCUUGGUGCAGGUGAAAGCACAUGGUUCCUCAUUCCUGCUGUAAUAAAAAUGACAAAGUUU